rnacentral:other from 1 species
AGCGCCCUGCGCUGUUGGUGCGAACCCUUUUCGUUUUGAGCCAACACCCAAAACGAGGGAGCCUGUGUCUCGGUCGCGUGCGAAUGCCCGUUACGGGACUCUGCAUUCGGUUGAGCAGGGCACCCACCUGCGAGAGCAGGUUCAAAACUAUGGGUUUCACGGCAUGGGCGGGGCAUUG